AACGAACGCUGGCGGCAGGCCUAACACAUGCAAGUCGAACGCCCUAGCAAUAGGGAGUGGCAGACGGGUGAGUAACACGUGGGAACCUUCCCUAUAGUACGGAAUAUACCAGGGAAACUUGGAGCAAUACCGUAUACGCCCGAGAGGGGAAAGAUUUAUCGCUAUAGGAUGGGCCCGCGUAGGAUUAGCUAGUUGGUGAGGUAAUGGCUCACCAAGGCGACGAUCCUUAGCUGGUUUGAGAGAACGACCAGCCACACUGGGACUGAGACACGGCCCAGACUCCUACGGGAGGCAGCAGUGGGGAAUAUUGGACAAUGGGCGCAAGCCUGAUCCAGCCAUGCCGCGUGAGUGAUGAAGGCCUCAGGGUU
rnacentral:rRNA from 1 species